GAUCCUGGCUCAGGACGAACGCUGGCGGCGUGCCUAAUACAUGCAAGUAGAACGCUGAAGGAGGAGCUUGCUUCUCCGGAUGAGUUGCGAACGGGUGAGUAACGCGUAGGUAACCUGCCUGGUAGCGGGGGAUAACUAUUGGAAACGAUAGCUAAUACCGCAUAAAAUUGAUUAUUGCAUGAUAGUCAAUUAAAAGGUGCAAAUGCAUCACUACCAGAUGGACCUGCGUUGUA
rnacentral:rRNA from 1 species